GGAUCGGGUGGGGGCCUGUGGGAGGGCCUCCUGGUAUUGAUCUCAACCCCCUGUUUCUAACGGUGCGUGUGCCGCGGCCCGGCGGCGACGCGC
rfam:Rhodobacterales bacterium CG2_30_65_12 cg2_3.0_scaffold_2475_c, whole genome shotgun sequence.